AUUGAACGCUGGCGGCAGGCCUAACACAUGCAAGUCGAAUGGUAACAGGAAACAGCUUGCUGUUUCGCUGACGAGUGGCGGACGGGUGAGUAAUGUCUGGGAAACUGCCUGAUGGAGGGGGAUAACUACUGGAAACGGUAGCUAAUACCGCAUAACGUCGCAAGACCAAAGAGGGGGACCUUCGGGCCUCUUGCCAUCAGAUGUGCCCAGAUGGGAUUAGCUAGUAGGUGGGGUAACGGCUCACCUAGGCGACGAUCCCUAGCUGGUCUGAGAGGAUGACCAGCCACACUGGAACUGAGACACGGUCCAGACUCCUACGGGAGGCAGCAGUGGGGAAUAUUGCACAAUGGGCGCAAGCCUGACGCAGCCAUGCCGCGUGUAUGAAGAAGGCCUUCGGGUUGUAAAGUACUUUCAGCGGGGAGGAAGGGAGUAAAGUUAAUACCUUUGCUCAUUGACGUUACCCGCAGAAGAAGCACCGGCUAACUCCGUG
rnacentral:rRNA from 1 species